UGGGGAAUAUUGCACAAUGGGCGCAAGCCUGAUGCAGCCAUGCCGCGUGUAUGAAGAAGGCCUUCGGGUUGUAAAGUACUUUCAGCGGGGAGGAAGGGAGUAAAGUUAAUACCUUUGCUCAUUGACGUUACCCGCAGAAGAAGCACCGGCUAACUCCGUGCCAGCAGCCGCGGUAAUACGGAGGGUGCAAGCGUUAAUCGGAAUUACUGGGCGUAAAGCGCACGCAGGCGGUUGAUUGAGUCAGAUGUGAAAUCCCCGGGCUUAACCCGGGAAUUGCAUCUGAUACUGGUCAGCUAGAGUCUUGUAGAGGGGGGUAGAAUUCCAUGUGUAGCGGUGAAAUGCGUAGAGAUGUGGAGGAAUACCGGUGGCGAAGGCGGCCCCCUGGACGAAGACUGACGCUCAGGUGCGAAAGCGUGGGGAGCAAACAGG
rnacentral:rRNA from 1 species